AUGGCAAGCCCGUGGACAUCUGGGCAUGUGGGGUGAUCCUGUACAUCCUGCUUGUGGGCUACCCACCCUUCUGGGACGAGGACCAGCACAAGCUGUACCAGCAGAUCAAGGCUGGUGCCUAUGACUUCCCGUCCCCUGAGUGGGACACCGUCACUCCUGAAGCCAAAAACCUCAUCAACCAGAUGCUGACCAUCAACCCUGCCAAGCGCAUCACAGCCCAUGAGGCCCUGAAGCACCCGUGGGUCUGCCAACGCUCCACGGUAGCAUCCAUGAUGCACAGACAGGAGACUGUGGAGUGUCUAAAAAG
rnacentral:lncRNA from 1 species